rnacentral:rRNA from 1 species
GACGAACGCUGGCGGCGUGCUUAACACAUGCAAGUCGAACGGAAAGGCCCUGCUUUUGUGGGGUGCUCGAGUGGCGAACGGGUGAGUAACACGUGAGUAACCUGCCCUUGACUUUGGGAUAACUUCAGGAAACUGGGGCAAAUACCGGAUAGGAGCUCCUGCUGCAUGGGGGGGGUUGGAAAGUUUCGGCGGUUGGGGAUGGACUCGCGGCUUAUCAGAUUGUUGGUGGGGUAGAGGGCUACCAAGGCGUCGACGGGUAGCCGGCCGGAGAGGGGGACAGGCCACACGGGGACUGGGCCACGGACCAGACUACUGCGGGAGGCAGCAGUGGGGAAUGUGGGACAAUGGGGGGAAGCCUGGCCCAGCAAUGCCGCGUGUGUGACGAAGGCCUUCGGGUUGUAAAGCACUUUUGUGCGGAAAGAAAUCCUUGACUCUAAUACAGACGGGGGAUGACGGUACCGGAAGAAGAAGCACCGGCUAACUACGUG